rnacentral:lncRNA from 1 species
UUUAGGAGUUCAUAUCCGUACAUGUUCGUCGGGAUGGAGCGAUGCGAGGGAUGUUGCCGCCGCCACCGCCUGAUGCACCGGGUUGGGUGUGAGGCUUGCACGUGACGAGUAGGAGCUGUUUCUUUUUGGGGAUAGUUAGCCGACACUUAUGAUGGGGGUUGUUGCACGUGUGAUGUUGAGGGUCGAGGUUUCUUUUUGAGGUUUUAGGCUGGACGUGGCUGAGUCCUAGCUUUUCCUUUUUGAUGUACCGACCCAAAAGAAAUCCCAUCUUGAAAAUAUAUAUGUAAAUAAAGUGUCGUGGCUUGUUUAUAAAAUUAUGGUGAUUAGUGGUGUGUAUUUGUAUCAUGGUUGGUAGGG